UGUGUGUGUGUGUGUGUGUGUGUGUGUGUUCGCUCUGUGUCACUGAGGAUGUUUUGUCCCUCGUCCUCAGCAGGUGUCCUCCCUCAGACACUGGGCUCUUUCUGCUCUGUCCACCAUCACCACACACACACACACACACACACACACACACA
rnacentral:miRNA from 14 species